rnacentral:rRNA from 1 species
UUGGAGGGCAAGUCUGGUGCCAGCAGUCGCGGUAAUUCCAGCUCCAAUAGCGUAUAUUAAAGUUGUUGCAGUUAAAAAGCUCGUAGUUGAAUUUCGGAGUUUGUCGGUCGGUCGGGCUUCACUGUCCGCACUGGCCUGAUGGAUUUCUUCCUUCUGAAUAACUAGCAUGCUAUUAAGUUAGUGCGUUGGGGAAGCAGAGAUAUUACCUUGAAAAAAUUAGAGUGGUUAAAACAGGGUUAUGCUUGAAUAGAUUAGCAAGGAAUAAUAAAAUAGGACGGCAUGGUUCUAUUUUGUUGGUUUCUAGGAUCGCCGUAAUGAUUAAUAGUGAUAGUUGGGGGCAUUAGUAUUCAAUUGUCAGAGGUGAAAUUCUUGGAUUUAUUGAAGACUAACUUCUGCGAAAGCAUUUGCCAAGGAUGUUUUCAUUAAUCAAGAACGAAAGUUAAGGGAUUGAAGACGAUCAGAUACCGUCGUAGUCUUAACCAUAAACUAUGCCGACUAGGGAUCAGAUGAUGUUAAUUUUGUAAUGACUCAUUCGGCGCCUUACGGGAAAC